CAAGCAGCCUCCCUCCUUAUAAUAUUGUUUAGCAACUUCCCCUUAUCUAUUUACCUUUUUUCUUGUAGGAAUAUAUUUCCACCUACACCUUCCAGUUUCAGUGUGGCCCACUGUUAUCCAGCUAAGGAUGCUUUUCUCAGCCUCAGUAGUAGAUGGAUAACAUUUUCAAUAUCUAUAUCAUUUCUUUAAUGAUAACAUUGCCUGGCUACUUCCUUCACCUUCUCAGGGGAGUUGGGAAGCCAGCGUCUCUUAUGGAAAGCGAGGAACACCUAGACCAGCGGUUCUCAACCUUUCCAAUACUGAAGCCCUAUAAUAGAGUUUUCCAUGUUGCAGUGACCCCAACCAUAAAAUUAUUUCAUUGCUAUUUCAUAACUAUAAUUUUGAUACUGUUAAAUCAUAAUGUAAAUAUUUGAUAUGCUGGAUAUUUGAUAUGUGACCCCUAUGGGGGGGGUCAUGACCCACAGAUUGAGGAUCACUGCCCUAGAAGAUCAUAGCAUUUUAAGGAAGAAGGGAUCUAGAGGGAGCCGUUCUCUGUGUCCUUCACUUCCCAUCUGACUGCAUUAUUGAAUAAGAGAUAGGUUCACUUGUUUAGAGAAGUAUUUCAUGUGAGCCAUUAUAUUUUAAGGGUAAAUCUGUUAAGGCAGUUCAUCUAGUACUAAACCUUACCUAACAUGUGUAACAUGCCUUGCUGUGGAUGUUUUUUUCCGGAAUUCCACAGCCUCUGGGAAAACAGUGAGACUCUGGGCAGCAGCCGGGCCACUUGUGGGUGGAGAGGUAUCUGAGACUCUAUAAGAUUAGAGGGCUGCUCUGCCAAGGAUGCCAACUCUUGAGGAAAAUAUGGUGGGCUUCACUUGAGACAGGCACAUAUGCACUGAGGCAGUCAGCAUGGUGGGGAUUGUCAGAGCAAAUCCUCUUUUGCUGGCUGCAGAAUCUGUAACUACAUUAAGUAAAUCAAGCAAUAAUUUCUUUCAGGUUAAGAAAGAACCCAACGUGAAACUUCAAUACCUUGAUAUAUUAAAAGAUUUGUGUUAGUAAGCGCAUUUAUGUCUUCACAGAGGAAAAACAAAACCUUGCAAACAAAUUGUGAAAAGCAUUUCAUACUUUUGUUUACACAAAUAUUGUAUUUCUACAGAGACUAAAAAGGAAACUGAAACUAAGAGCCCAACUGAGGUCCUUGAAUUGGUUUUUCUUUAGCCUACAGAAGUUUAAGAAUAUUACACAUAAUCUCAUCCUACAGUUAUUAUUGCACUUCAGCCAGGUAACGAGAAGUAAACUGAGACACCUGGCAGAGUUUGAACAUGGAAAUCUCAAAUCACCGAAGAAGUAAAAUGUGACCUGCCCCACUGAGAAAGGGCUUGCUGACUGUGGGGUACCGGGCAGGAUAGAAACACCAAAAAGCAGGCCCUCAUGUUACAAGGACUUCUCAUUGCAGUGAAAAGGACAUUAAAAAACAAAGAGUUUUCUGUGGUAAUUUGUAUGUAAUUGGCCCUCAUAAGCUCAUAGGGAGUGGCACUAUUUGGGGGUGUGGCCUUGUUGCUAGAAGUAUGUCACUGUGGGGGUUGUCUUUGAGGUUUCCAAUGUUCAAACUAUGCCAGGUGUCUGAGUUUACUUCUCGUUACCUGUAAACUAAGAUGCAGGGCUCUCACCUCCUUCUCCAGUACCGUGUCUGCUUCUAUACCUCCUUCUCCAGUGCCGUGUCUGCUUCUAUACUACCAUGUAGAAGACAACAUGUUACUAUAGUGACCAGACGUACGAAAAGGUCUUUGUAGUUUUAAAUAGAAACAUCAAGGUGGCUUUCUAAACUUCUUUUUCCUGGGGAAGGGUAUUGCAUAAUGACAUAUCAUCUUUCUUUUUUCUUUAUUUUAGUCUAUUUUUAAGACGCAAUUUAGAUAUAUAGCAGAGACUGGUCUGUAACUUGCUAUUUGACCCAGGCUGGCCUCAAGCUCACUAUCUUCCUGCCUCAGUCUCCUGACUUCUGGUAUUUGAGGUAUGUGUCAUGAAGCCUGUCUGUCUUGUUAAUUUUCUAUACUUGUGUUUAGAAGAAGGUUGUUCUUGCUUGAUUUCAUGCAAACUUUCCAAGAAAGUCUCUUGGUUAUCAACAUGGAAACAUUUUCAAAAUAAGUGUUGUCCCUGAUCUGAAGACAUCACUCCAAUUUUCUCUCUAAUGGCUAGGCUUGAGUUCAGCACAGGCUAGGCCAGAGGGCUGGGUGAGUUCCUAUUGCAUCACUUCACCGAACACACAAAUGCUUAUCCAGCCUCUCUCCCCAUGUCCUCCCCCGUUGCCAUUUUUAUUUCUUGAUCAUUUCUGAAAAAGUGACAUGUGAUUUUCUUCAGAUAAUUUUUUAAUGAAAGAAGUAGUAAUAUUAGUAAUAGAGUCCAAAUUCAGAGAAGACAUGUACUUGAUUCAGCAGCCAGAGCAUUUGUGUGUGGUGUUAAAGGUGUGCUAAGGAUGUAUUAAUCUUAUUUUCCCCUUUCAUUUUACAUGAAAGCUGUCAUUAUUGGGAUAAGAAUAAAAUGAACAUAAGUAUGAUAAAUGAUAAGUGCCCACAAGAGUCAAUACACUUCUCCGAGAGAGCAUUGCUAAUCAACCAGUGACGCGGCCUAAUGCACCAUGCGAGCAAGCACCUCUGAGAGAUGCUAAAUUUGUAACUUAGUGAGCCUGGCAUUUAGUUGGAGCUGCCUUAGGCUUAAGGUGGAAAAAAGGGUGCAAUCAAGUGUGCACCUCAGAAGGAAGCCCUGUCUUGGAUCAUGCACUUGCAAUGCCAUGUAGAACACAAAGUGGCUUCUAUAUCCCUAAAUGGCCUCAAAGUAUACACAAUUUGUUUAUUGGCUAUUAAAUAACAUUCACCAAAAUGGGUGAAAGAGUUCUAUGCUAUUUUAUUUUUAUAAUAGUGAAAACGAAUGGGGAGAGAACCAGUUAGCCCCCAGUAUGAAAGCUCUACCUUCUAUAUCAAAGCUGAGGAACACAAGUUUAAAAAUGCAUGGGUUGAAGUCACCAUGACAUUGGGUGGGUAUCUGUUAUCUUCUAAAACAUAGUUUUAAAACCCAAAUCUUAAUUAAUAAUAGAUGAGGAAAUCCCACCUCAUUGUAUGAUCUCAAGGCCUCUUACACAGUUUUGUUAACUGUCAGACAAUUUCUGUUCUCUGUAUUCCAGUGAGCAAAAGGAUGGAAAAGGAGAGAGAGCAGAGGACCUGGCAACUGUAGACAAUGUAGACUUGGCUGACGGGCUGUAUUUGUGUCGAGAGAAUGUCUGCUGGGUGUAACAAUCCCAUUGCUGGUUCUUUGGGUGAACGAUGACUCCCAAUGAUGUCAGUCUCUCUCUUGGUUCUACGUUCUAACUUCUGAUAUUUUAGAAAUCUCUGCUACAGUCUUUUGAGGCUGAUAAAUUACUUAUGAUUUAUUGAGCAUGUACUAUAUUCUGAGAACACAUGAUAAAAUAAAACAGAAGAGUCACACCCAUCUGGAAAUUCUGUCUUCCAUCUGACAGUGCAGGGAAGAGUUGGAGAAGUUGUAAAAGAAAGAGAACAGAAUAGGGAUGGAAAAUCAGCCAUUCUCUCACAUUCUUUCCCUUUAGCUAUCACUGCGAAGCUCUAUUUACAGAGCCCUGAGCCCAAACCAGAGACCACUUAGUGAUGCAUGUGAAGAAUGGCAAGAGAAAAGAAGGAAAGAGAAAUAAACAGCCCGUGGCUGAGGUAAAUUUGUAAGGACACUUUUCUGUAGACUAUCAUGUAGAAAGAGUUCUAUGUCUUUGAGCGUUGUAAGGUGAGUGAUUGACUCUCCAGCAACAGCUGUGACCGUGUGGUGCUCGCCAUCAGUGUUUAUCUCAGGCUACUUCAGCAUUCUGUUCUUCCUUAAAUUUGUAUUAACAGAAGCAUGUUAUUUUAUGUUAUUUAUUUUCUUAAAUAUUGGUAAAAUAAUGUGUCAAAAUCAGUGUUGUUAUCGUCAUUGCGCAGAAAUUUAUCCCUGCUGUCUACUAUAUCAUUGGCUCCAGGAAGAUAUAAACAAAGAUAAUGAAUACAGGGUCCCUCUACUCAAAAACUGAAAAACAAUUACUUAAUUUUUAACUUCC